rnacentral:lncRNA from 10 species
GGAGGCGGCGUUCAGAAAUAGGGCGCUGGCUUUGCCAGGAGCGGCUCCUCUCCAAGCCUGGCGGUCACUGCCCUGUGUCCCCUUUUGGGCCUCUCCUGGUCCUCCUGGUUGGAUUAGGAGGCCUCUCAGCCCGGAGUCUGGGUCGCCGAAGUACAGGCCCCUUCACUGAAGCGACCCACGGCGCAGGGGUUUCUGGAAGCCAUCGCCAGGCUCCGAGUGUUCAGAUGCAGCUGCCAGGCUCAGGACGCAGAGAACUGGCUUCCAGCUCGCAGGAGCGCCUGUCCGUGGUGGGUAGGGUCGCAGGCGUGGGGUGUGCAGGAGCAGUGGGACAGCACUGAAACGCAGUCGCUCUGGCAUAUAAAGAGCUCGGAAGCCUUCAUUCCCAUCUUCACAACAACAAAAUCAUUCAACAAACUGAAAAUCAACUUUUCUUAGAUCCAUCAGAGAACUGAAGAUAGAAAGGUAACUGACACCCCAAAAUCCCGAGAAAGAAAAAUACAUAAAAUUACAGCCAAGAUUAGCUUACUUGAAG